ensembl:ncRNA asRNA:CR43833 antisense RNA:CR43833
AAAAGGAUUGAAGAACCGCAGAAUAAGGAACCAAUAACGCACACUGUUGUUCACGCCGUGAAAACUCAACUCGACUGAACCAGAGAGCGACGAGACGUGGGUUUUUAUACUUUUUCGGCGAGACCGUGCUGCCAGACUGUUCGAUUCUGGAAUUUUUGAACAGGGCGGGCAGCUACAUAACCCAAAUUGCAGCACAUUUCCAAUUGGCGGCAGAAAGCGAUGCAAAAGAAAACGAAGUAAAUAUUGAACAGGAAUUGCUGUACAUUUCCAAGUGGCGGCAGAAAGCAAAAAAAAAAAACAAAAUUGCCGCCAA